UACAGAGGGCGCGAGCGUUGUCCGGAAUCACUGGGCGUAAAGGGCGCGUAGGUGGCGGCAUAAGGCUGUGGUGAAAGUCCGGGGCUCAACUCCGGAUCGGCCGUGGCAACUGUGUCGCUUGGGUACCGUAGAGGCAGAUGGAAUUCCUGGUGUAGCGGUGGAAUGCGCAGAUAUCAGGAGGAACACCGGUGGCGAAGGCGGGUCUCUGGGCAGUAACUGACGCUGAGGAGCGAAAGCGUGGGGAGCGAACAGG
rnacentral:rRNA from 1 species